CUUUUGGCAAUGAAUCAAAUGAAAUCAGUAUUUUGAAUUAUGCAUUUUUAUGUAUGUCAAGCAGAAUACUUCUAAAGGCAGUAAGGAUAACAAGACUGUUUUGAUACAUACAAAAAUGCAAAAUCUGGGACUCUGAAUGGCCGUGUGGUCUCAGCUACAACAUAUUGUGUUUUGUCCAAUAAAUUCAAUGGUUUUUUAAAAAGCUUGACUUCUACAGCAAAGCACAUUUUAAUUAAACUGACCCAGAAGUCAAGAGAAGGAAAACAUUUGCUGCAAAGCUCAAUCAUAGCUGCUUGUGUUUGUAAUUAUAAAUAAUGCAAGUCAGCAAGAUGCAUCCAAACUUACAAGAACCUUAAAACAUCCCUAAUACGUGAAGACAUUUAGUUCAAACAUAGGGUUAGGGUCCUGGUCAGGGUGUGAGUUGGGGGGUCAGGGUCAUAAGGUCAGGGUUAGGGUUGGGGCGGUGGUUAGGGUUAUGGUCAGCGUCAGCAUCAGGGUAUCAGUAUCAUAAGGUCAGGUUCUGGGUUAGGGUUAGAGCCUGGGUUAGAGUUAGGGUCAAGUUCAUGGUCAGUGUUAGUGUUACGAUCAGGUUUAGGGCUAGACUUAGGGUCAGGGUCAGGGUCUUGGUCACAGUGUCACAGUGAGAGUCAGCGAUACAGUGAGGGUUAGGGUCAGGGUUCAUGUCAGGAUCACUGGUAGGGUCAGUAUUAAAGUCAGUGUUAGGGUCAGGGUUAGUGUCAGGGUUAUUGGUAGGGUCAGUGUUAGGUAGAGGAUCAGGGUUAGUGUUAGGGUCACAGGAUGAAUGUUAUGGAGCUCCUAGACACUGGGACAGGUUAUGAAGAACACUGGGCUGAGGUGAUCUGCAUCUCCUGCAAAUCUCAUUGCAGCCAUGGGUGUCUGGGACCCCACCCACCCAGCAUGCCUUGGCAGAAGACCCUGCCUUGACCUCAGAGAAGCCCUCUGAGAACAGCUCUUUGUAGAAAGCAGUGCCUGGAUUAAACCUGCUUCUCCCAGGAAGCAUCACCUAUCUAGGUUCAUGCUGUGAGGCACAGAAACACAGAUCUAUCCACCCUUGGCUUUGGCCCCAGGCAUCUCAGAGGCCAGAGCCGUGCUCCACAGCCGCCUGUCUACCCAGUUUCAUUGUCUGCCUUCUCUUCCAAACAGUGAGCACUCCCUGAUUUCUAUUCAAUGCUGGUAGACCUGUUCUAUCUCAAGCGUAAGAAUACAUGUCUUGGCUGGGCACGGUGGCUCAUGCCUGUAAUCCCAACACUCUGGGAGGCUGAGGUGGGUGGAUCACCUGAGGUCAGGAGUUCAAGACCAGCCUAGCCAACAUGGUGAAACCCAGUCUCUACUAAAAAUACAAAAAUUAGCCAUGUGUGGUGGCGGGUGUCUGUAAUCCCAGCUAUUUGGGAGGCUGAGGCAGGAGAAUCACUUGAACCUGGGAGGUGGAGGUUGCAGUGAGCCGAGAUCAUGUCAUUGCACUCCAGCCUGGGCAACAGAGUGAGAUUCCAUCUCAAAACAAACAAACAAACAAACAACACAUGCCUUGGAUAAAGGGAUUGGCCCGUCAAUUAUGGUGGGCCAUUAUUACGGAAUCAUUAUUCCAUGAUUCCAUAUUUGUGGCUUUAUUUUUCUCCUCCUCUGUUCGAUUUUCUUAAACUUUUAAAAACUUGUUUGGCCUCUUUCAGAGAAGACCUGGAAAGGCAAAAAUUGAGUUAAGGACGCCUUCCUUGGGCAGAGAUGGUUUUGCCCAGUGGGGCUACUCAGGGGUUGACCACUCGAGGUCCUGAGUGGGGUCAAGCCAUCUGUUUUGGUUUCUAAGAGGGAACCUUGCUGCAGUGCUCCUAGAGUGGAAGAACUUUGUGGG
rnacentral:lncRNA from 10 species